UAACGAAUCUUCCGCAAUGGGCGCAAGCCUGACGGAGCGACGCCGCGUGUAGGACGAAGCCCUUCGGGGUGUAAACUACUGUCAGGGGUUAGAAAGUUCUGAUCAACCCCAGAGGAAGGCACGGCUAACUCUGUGCCAGCAGCCGCGGUAAGACAGAGGUGCCAAGCGUUAGGCGGAAUCACUGGGCUUAAAGCGUGUGUAGGCGGAUCGUUAAGUGCUUUGUGAAAUCCCACGGCUCAACCGUGGAAUUGCUCGGCAUACUGGCGGUCUUGAGCCAUCUAGGGGUCGCUGGAACAAACGGUGGAGCGGUGAAAUGCGUAGAUAUCGUUUGGAACGCCAAUGGUGAAAACAGGCGACUGGGGAUGUGCUGACGCUGAGACACGAAAGCCAGGGGAGCAAACGGGAUUAGAUACCCGGGUAGUCC
rnacentral:rRNA from 1 species